rnacentral:rRNA from 1 species
AACGAACGCUGGCGUCAGGCUUAACACAUGCAAGUCGAACGCCCCGCAAGGGGAGUGGCAGACGGGUGAGUAACGCGGUGGGAAUCUACCUAGUUCUACGGAACAACAGUUGGAAACGACUGCUAUACCGUAUACGCCCGUACGGGGGAAAGAUUUAUCGGAAUUAGAUGAGCCCGCGUAAGAUUAGCUAGUUGGUGAGG